rnacentral:rRNA from 1 species
AUUGAACGCUGGCGGCAGGCCUAACACAUGCAAGUCGAGCGAGCGGCGGCCGGGUGAGUAAUGUAUGGGGACUGCCCGAUAGAGGGGGAUAACUACUGGAAACGGUGGCUAAUACCGCAUACUAUCGGAUAACCCAUAUGGGAUUAGCUAGUAGGUGGGGUAAAGGCUCACCUAGGCGACGAUCUCUAGCUGGUCUGAGAGGAUGAUCAGCCACACUGUGACGUAGACAAGGCCCAGACUCCUACGGAGGCAGCAGUGGGGAAUAUUGCACAAUGGGCGCAAGCCUGAUGCAGCCAUGCCGCGUGUAUGAAGAAGGCGUUAGGGGUGUAAGGUACUUACAGCGGGGAGGCGUUACCCGCAGAAGAAGCACCGGCAAACUCCGUGCCAGCCGCCGCGGUAAUUC